rnacentral:snRNA from 1 species
GGAUGUGAGGGCGAUCUGGCUGCGGCAUCUGUCACUCUAUUGAUCUCCAUGGUUGAUUCGGCUAAUCUGGCUGACUAGGCGUCCCUCACCGAUCCAGGUGCAUCCCUCCUGAAGCAUGCUCAGUCGAAGAGGAUGACCUUUCCCCACUCAGGAGAGGACCAGUCUUCAGCCAAGGGUACAUGAGUAGCUGCGCUCCCCUGCUGAAAACUCCAAACAAGCUCUCAAGGUCCAAAUCUGAUGAUUUCUCAUUCUAUUUCUUUAAAAAAAUGAAGAGGAUGACCUUUCCACACUCAGGAGAGGACCAGUCUUCGGCCAAGGGUACAUGAGUAGCU